GAUUUCUGGUUUGAUGUACCUGUCCCGCCGAAGCAAUUCGUGUGAGUGACGGAGUAUGUCUGCCAUCUUUCUAGAAAGCCCAAGCUAUCCUUUACUGGACCGGUUUGGGUCAUCUAGAUCUUUUACUUUGAAAAAAUUAGAGUGUUUCAAGCAGGCGUUUUGCUAUGAAUACAUUAGCAUGGAAUAAUAAUUUAGGACUUCGGUUCUAUUUUGUUGGUUUCUAGGACUGAAGUAAUGAUUGAUAGGGAUAGUUGGGGGUGCUAGUAUUCAGCGGCCAGAGGUGAAAUUCUCGGAUUCGCUGAAGACUAACUUAUGCGAAAGCAUU
rnacentral:rRNA from 1 species